GUGGGCUACGGGGACAUGAAGCCCAUCACUGUGGGGGGCAAAAUAGUGGGGUCCCUGUGUGCCAUCGCGGGCGUAUUAACCAUUGCUUUACCGGUGCCAGUGAUCGUCUCCAAC
rfam:Ornithorhynchus anatinus chromosome 3, whole genome shotgun sequence.